ensembl:lncRNA
CCGCCGCCGCCUCCGUCAUCCACUCGCCGCAGCAGGCGGCCCUCGCCAAGCCCAAGCUCUGGUCGCUGGCCGAGAUCGCCACCUCGGCGGACAGGGCGAGGGAGGCGGGCGGCGAAACGGCGGCCCCCGGCCCCGCCGUGCUGGGAGGCGGCGGCCCCCCGCGCCCCUCUCCGCCGCGGCCCCGCUCGCCGUCCGCGCAGUGCCCCUUCCCCAACGGGGCGGUCCUGCCGCGGCCGCUCUACUACACGGCGCCCUUCUACCCCGGCUACACGAACUACGGCUCCUUCGGGGCCCUGCACGGGCACCCCGCCGGCGGGCCCGCCGCGCCCGGCGCCGCCUUCAAUGGAUUAAACCAGACUGUGCUGAGCCGGGCCGAGGGGCUGGGGAAGGAGCCCAAGGCGGCCAGGAGCCAGCCCCAGGCAGAGCUCGGCAAGGACUCGCCGUACGAACUGAAGAAAGAAAUACGGAAUGGCCGCGGCGGUUAUUUUUCCACUACCAAAAGAAACGCAAACCGAAACAAACGGCGCCGAGCGGUUUCCCCCCCGCACCCGCAGCGCUCCCCGCGGCCCCCACGGACGUUUGUACGGACCCCUCUGUAUAUUUAAUGUAGCUUUUGUAUUUAAAUUGAUAAUACGGUAUCUUUGAAGUAAAUUAUGAAAUCGAGACACCUGUACAGGCAUUAAUGUUGUUUUCGUAAUAUAAAUAUAUACAUUUCUGUGUCUUUUUCCGAAUUGUUUCAUAGUUUUAAAAAUAUAUAUAUACAAGUUUAAUUUAAUUUUUUAUGGCUAGUGUUUUUUUUUUUUCCCCUUGGGCGUGCGCUAAAUUGUAACGAAAAAAAAAAGGGCAAGGAACGGGUCCCACUUCUGGGAUACAGCGCUCGUCGGGAAAGGGGCGGGCGGCAGAACGCAGCCCCGCUCUCUUCCCGCAGCGGGCGCGGGGCCGAUCCCGCACGUAACCUCAUUACCCGCAAUCAGUGCCGCGUUUCACGCGAAGCGAUCCGCUGCUCGACUUCGCUAAUGAGUUCGAUUUUCUGCCAGCUUUCCCCUCGCUGGCGGUGCCCGGGGCCGCGGCCGCGGGGGUAGCGCUCGGGGCCCCCUCCCGGGCCCGCGGUGCUUGCGGGCGGCGGCAGAAAAAGAGCGUUAAUCUGCCCCAUCUCGGGGCCCGAGGAUCGGAGCGGAGGAGACAUUCACUGCAAGCACGUAGGGGAAUAAGGGUCUCGCUUUAUUGAAUCAUCAAAUCCCAGGAACGAAGCUCUUAAUUAAUUAUGGGUGCUAAAAAUUCAGGCCAGCUGCUACUUUUUACUCGGCUCUGACAGAGAAAGACAAAGUCUGCGGCGAGCUCCUCCGAGGCGCUCCGCAUAAAUCAGCGCUCCCGGCCCGCGGGGACAGAUGGCGCCUCGGCCCCGCGCCGCCCGCAUUCCUCCACCGCACCGCGGCGGUGCGGG